CCCUCUCUCUAAACCUCUCUUUAUUUGGGCAACAGGGCACCAUCAGGUGGAUGCAGGAGGAUCCGGUAAUGGGGCACCAUCUUGGAAGCAGAGAGCAGCCACAUGCCAUCGCCAUGAUUUUGAGCUUUACAGUCUCCAGAACUGGAAAUAGUUGGAUGAUUAAUGAGAUAAUGAAUGUGAGGAGAACUCCCUGGAGGAAAGACAUUUCACAAACAUGAAGUGAA
rnacentral:lncRNA from 10 species